rnacentral:lncRNA from 15 species
AUGCGCCAAACCUGUGAGUACUGUGGACGCCACUUCCGCUCCCUGGGUCGCCACUUAGAUAAACACCAUGCACACCAACCAGAAGUGUGCUCUGCUUUAGUGGAGCGCUACACACAGAUGCCCCGCCUGCACGCACAGAACCCAAACCCCACCACAGCUCACACACAAACUCAGCAGCACUCAAAGUCGUCACAAGUUGCGGGACAGAGCCGCACUUCAGAUCUUCCACAGAAUGGCGUCCAGGACCUCUCCAUGUCUCCGCCCACUCUCACAGCAGCCAACCAAUCCCCUGCUUCCGCUGGAAGAAACUCCACCCCACCUUUGCUGACUCCUCCGCGAGGACAGAAUGCAGUGCCGGUGUCUGUCUUAAAGAGAAGUCCACCCCCUGUGGCUGUGACACAGUCCAGGAAGGGAGCUGUGAGCAGGCUGAAGAAAGAAAGACAGAACGAGGAAGAAGCGGAUGAGGGGGACGAAGAUGAAGAAGAUGUGGAGGUUGUGGAGGUAAAGAGGCCCAAAGAGGAGGAGGAUGUUGAGGUGGUGUGUCCUCAGUCCUUCAGCUGCAAGUCGCCCAAAGAGAUGGAGCCACCAAAAGAAGAGGAAGAUGAGGAGGAGGAGGAAGAGGAGGAGGAGGAGAAUGGAGUGAUGGAGGUAGAAGAUGAAAGUGGAACAGAAGAUAAGGAAAAGGACCUACUGAGUAGUUCCGGGCGUCACCAUUUGCUGCCCCUCCUCUCGUCCUUGUCCUCUCUGGUGCUGUACCUUCGUCGGCUGCAGCACUCUGCCUUCUUGUCCCUGUCACGGCAGCUACAGUCAGCCGAGGCCUGGCGCCUUCUUUGCCACUCCAGCCUGGCUCUCCUGAUCCUGUACAACCGACGACGCGAGUGUGAGGUCUCCAAGCUGUCCAUCGCUGAAUAUCGUGCUCGCAUCACUCCCCAGUGCCCUGUUCCUGUCCCACCUGGAGCCCCUCCAGCUCUCACCCCAUUAGAGGCUUCCCUGUCCCCCUUUGAGCGCCUGGUGCUUCCUCACCUCCCCAGAGUCGGGGUCCAGGGUAAACGUGGACGAGUCCAGCCCCUCAUCCUCCCCCCUCACUGUGAGCCCUGCCUGGAGCUCCUCCUGCAGACACGGCAGGAUGUGGGAGUCGACCCCGCAAACCCGUAUGUCUUUGCCAGGCCCUACCACUCCCCUGCCACACCACUGCGAGGCACCGACCUCCUCCGCAGCCUGGCCCGCUCAAGCGGUACACGCAAUCCCCGUGCCCUGACUCAGACCAGGGUUCGCCGGCAGGUAGCGAUACUGACCCAGCUGCUGCUGCUGGGAGAAGGAGAGGAGCCUGGGCAGCCUGGAGGCAGCGCUGUAGAGAGGCUGGAGCACUUCCUGGAAAGAGAGUAUCACGUGACACAGAACUGUGCGGGAAUUGGCCAAGACCCAGGCCUGAUGGGCAGAGUGGGCCGAGUUGUGCUUUGUGGAGAGAGAGAUGGAGUGCUGUUCAGAGGAAUGAGCCUGAACCACAUCUGCUUGGAACUGGAUGUUAUGUCAGGAAACUCUGCAGACUCGUACUCAGAGGGAGAGUCUGAAGGAGAGCAGGUGAAGGAGAAGCCAGAGGCCCCUGCCCCUGCUCCUGCUCCGAACCCUACACCUACCCUGCUGUAUGUCAGGAAGGGCAAGAACAACGGGCGGGUGGGACGACCCAAGAAGCUCAAGAACACCCAGCCAACCCCUCCACCUCCUCCACCUCCACCGGCAAACCGCAGGAGAGGCUCAGGUCAGCCCAAAUCAGGAAAGCGAGGUGUUCUAAAGCGUCCCUGGUCAGAGGCCGAGCGUGCGGCGGUCGAGGAGCACCUGACCCAAAACAUCACUGAGCUGAGAGUCCCCGCCAAGGCCGACUGUGAGCGCUGCCUGCAGCAGUGCCCCCUGCUGGUCAGCAACCACCGCGACUGGCGAGCCAUCAAGUUCUACUGCCACAACCGCAUUCAGCUGCUGAAGAAAAACCAGCGGCGUGAAAAGCUCCUCCUGUCCUUUCCCAGCCACACUACACGGUUUGCAGCUCGAGCAGAUUUUUGGUUUCUCUUCAGUGUUGCUGGAAAUCUGCGUCCAUCAGACUAA